UGUAUAUCUUUGAAUUGGCAAUCUCUUGUGUUUAGAUGCAAGUUCUGUGAUUUAGUGCUGAAUAUACCUGUCACCGUUACCUUUCUACCGUUUGGGGGCAAUGUAUUCCGUUACCAGUAACUCUGUGGUGUAAAAAGUUUGAUUGAACUUGAACGUGGCACCUCGUUUUCUGUACCCACUCCAUAAAAAAUUGCCCUAAGUUUGUCAGAUUGGGAUGGGGAUCGAUUAGGGGUGAGAUGUUCAGUCUGACUGGAUCGUCAGUACUAAGACAGUAGUUACGCAUAAUAUUUUAUGAUAUGAUGUAAUAAAAUAUAAUAAAUUUGAGACAAAAAAAAAUGUAUUGUAGGGCAAUAGAAUCCGACUUUAUAAAAAGGUGGAAGCGAAAUGUGGAACGUUAAACAAAAAAAGAAGCUUAUUUAUACAAAAAGAUGCUGAUAUUUUGACUAGCAAAUGUAUAUAUCACAUAAAAUAAUGAAAAUAUUAUCCACCUGAUGGUUUUUUUAGUUAUUAAGCUACUGAAGUACUGAUAAAUACAAAGACAAACGAAAAGGUUCUUUGACAAGAGUCGUUUAUGGAACAUCCGCUGUUCUAUUCCAUCUGUCUAUGGUGAGCCAAAAAGGGAUAGGAGUAUUUUUUUCACAUAGGAGUGUUGGGUCUGUAGUCCAUUAGUUUAGACUAUAGAAGACUUUAAUAAUCCAUAGUCCAUUUUAAUCAUAAUUUUUUUUUAUUUUUUAAUCUAAUCCAAAAUGGGAGGCUAAUGAUGGC
rnacentral:lncRNA from 1 species